GAUGAACGCUAGCUACAGGCUUAACACAUGCAAGUCGAGGGGCAGCAUAAUCGAAGCUUGCUUUGAUUGAUGGCGACCGGCGCACGGGUGAGUAACGCGUAUCCAACCUUCCCCUUAGUAGGGCAUAGCCCGGCGAAAGUCGGAUUAAUACCCUAUGUUAUCCGUCGAGGACAUCUGAAGUGGAUUAAAGAUUUAUCGCUAAGGGAUGGGGAUGCGUCUGAUUAGGUUGUUGGCGGGGUAACGGCCCACCAAGCCUACGAUCAGUAGGGGUUCUGAGAGGAAGGUCCCCCACAUUGGUACUGAGACACGGACCAAACUCCUACGGGAGGCAGCAGUGAGGAAUAUUGGUCAAUGGGCGAGAGCCUGAACCAGCCAAGUAGCGUGCAGGAUGACGGCCCUAUGGGUUGUAAACUGCUUUUGCAUGGGAACAAAGUCGGGGACGUGU
rnacentral:rRNA from 1 species